rnacentral:lncRNA from 1 species
UGUAUCUUGUAUAGCCUCUUAAAACAUUUAUUCUAGUACCUUGUAAUCAUCCUAUCAACAAAUGUGUUUCCUCUUCUCUACACAUGAGGUCAGCAACCAUGUUUUAUUAAUCUUUGCACAUAUAUUAUUUAUUACUGUAUCUGGCACAUGAUAGGUACUUAGUGAAUGUCUAUUGAUGAGUAAGUCAGUAUAUUCAUUGUCUACUUUUAAGAUAAAAAUGUUUAUUUUUAUAGACAACUGAAUAUUUCUACCAUGGCUUCUUAGGAAAUUGAUAAAUUUAAUUGAUGUCUAUUAAGCCACCCUGCUUUAUUGCUUGAUCUUCACUACUAAAAAUAAUUGGUAAUUCUCAAUUCUGAUAGAAGAUUAAGAUUAUCUAAAUUCCUGGGUUUAACCUCAGAGAUGCUAGGUGAGGUCUAGGUACUGUAUUUUUAAUAGUUCCUCAGAUAAUUCAAAUGUGUGGCCAGGGCUGAGAACCAUGAAAAAUCACCGAAAACUGUGACUGCCAAGUCUAUUGCUCCCUUCUGGCUUUCUGGGGCUGAGUCCACUAGUGUCACAUUGUAGGUAACAGCUAACACAUUCAUGAAAAUUCAUCUGUAGAUCUACUCACUUCCUAAAUUUUCUUGCCUGUAUUGAAAUAAUCCGACAUCUCCCCUCUGUCCCUCACAUCUCUUAUAAUCAAUCAUAUGACAAUCUACUUAGUAGUCCACCAGUCAUGAAGCUGUUUCUAUUUUAUUUUAGUUUGAGAGACAGAGUGCAGGUAUUAUUAAUCCAGGCAUUUUGAAUCCAUGGAUUCAGGUAAGAAGCAUGACAUAUCUCUAAGUCUGAGCUAUUUCCAUGUGAAAUGUUAUCACAGUUGGCAGAGCAACAUUGGUAACCUCUUUGCAUGAGUAGAUGUGGAUUUUAUAAUUACUUAUGACUCUGCCUCUUUUAUUGUCUCUGGCUCUAGCCUUGGCAUUCUUUUAAUGUGCAUUUCUGUACAAAUUAGAAAAGCAAGAGUUAAGAUGUAGAACUUAGGUGUCUGGCCACAGAUGUUCAGAGCAAUUCAGCGUGUCAAACUGAGGUCAAAUGAAUAGGGAAUGUCAUUACUAAAUGGUAACAUUUUUCUGAGAGCUUUAAAGAAAUUCAAGUCCUUUUUGAAUCUACAUUAAAAAAAUUUUUUUUUCAGGGUGAUAGGUUGCACUUCUAGUUCUUGUGAGAAAUUUGUACAUUAAAAUGAUUUCAAAUUUAACUAUUCUAGAAAUCAACUUUCUAAAUAGCAUGUCAGGCAGCACCAGCAGAAGACAUACAGUUUUAUUUGAGAUAUAGAUUUUUUUUAAGCUCAAUGAGAUACAAUUUGUUUAUUUAUAAAGCUGAUGUGACUUAUGCCUGUAUAUCUUUGGGACAUAUUAACAGAGCCACUGGGGAUUAGAUCGUGUUUCCAAAUUCCAUGAUCCGAAUUCUAGGUAUCUUCUUAUAGCUCAUUAAGUUUAAAAUUUUACAAUAUUCAGAAGUUUAGGACAAACUUUAUACCAGUUUGGAAGCUAACAAAAUGAACUAUAUACCUGCAUACCCCUGCUGUGUAUUAUGAUAAUAUACUUUGAUAAACAGGGGAGUUGUAUAUAAAAAUUAUGCGUAUUUAAUGCAAAUGAUAGAGCAUUUAUGGUUCAGAAUUUGCAAAAACGGAUCAAGGACAAGCCGAGUUAUUAACAUUUUAGUGCACGCCAUCCCUGUCAUGCGUAUAAGGUACCACAUCACAUAGUGAACAAGAUAAAAGUGUGGAUUUGUACCUCUUAACUAUCUCUAGAAUAGAGGUAAGCAGAAAUACAGCUAAAUAGAUAGUGGAUUGGCUUAGCACACACUCUUGGUACCUCACAUGUAUCUUCAGACCUUUACAUUUCCGGCACUCAUGCUGAUUUCCAGUUGUUUGCAUCUCUAGCUUUUUGUCUAAAGACUUUUUCUGAAGCAAUGGAAGUAUGCUCAGCUCAUUUGUGAAGCAGGAUGGAGGGACAAGGGAAUUUUCUCUUUGUAGACACAGCCCUCAACCAGUGAUGGAUGGGAAUUGAUGGUUAAAUACUUCAGGUCCCUUUUCCACAAGUGGGAGAACUCUGAAGUAUGCAUUCUAUUCCAUCUCCCAGUUGGGGCAACUCACUGGAUUUAACACACCAAUAAACACCCUUUAUUGUCUUAUUGCUUUAUUGGCACUCUUUCCAUCUAUGUUACAUCCUGACUCCUGUACCAGCAUUUGCUGCACUUCCCAAACUUGCAAACAAAUCCUUGUCUUAAGGUCCACUUUUGGGAUAACUCAAACUAUGAAUAUUGACAAUGGUAUGUGCUUUUUUAAACUUUUGUUUUAAAAUGGAAACUUAUGGGAAUUGACCUAAAACAUAUUUACAAAGGGAUAUUCUAGGAACUUGGUGGCUUUGAGCAACUCACACCAUCUUCCUGAGCCUCAACUUCCUUAUUUAGAAGAAACAGAUGAAAUGAUUGAUCUUACUUUGAAAUUCUGUUAUAUUAAAGCCUGAAUAGGGUUUCUUUAUCCCUCAUCUUAGUAUCGUUUCCUCAAUUUAUGGCUCAAUGUUACAUCUCUGUGUUGGUAAAGAUUAGUCUUUCAGGGUCCUCCUAGCCAAUGUGAGUGGGGCUUCCAAAGCAUCUUCCUGCUGGAUGCAUUCUUUGAGUUCCUUGUUCUCACGUGUCAUCAGUACAGACUCUGGGUACCAUUUCUCCUACUGUUUCCCCCUCAUUUGAGGUUGAUAGUCAUAAUCUUAGCUACAGAGCCCCCUUCUCUGCAAAACCCCUCACUUUCUUCUCCUUCCCUCCCAGGUUUAUUCUGUCCUGACCCAAUCAGAGUCUGCCUCUCUGUGGGGGCUCCUGCAGUCGCUCCUUGAAAUCAGAUCAAAGUAUGAGCACUUGCUCCUCAAUCUUAUUUCAUUUGUAUGGUUUGUAAAAAAGGAUCGCAUAGCAUACUCAAUAAAUGUGUAGAGCAUGACAGGCUGAUUCUGCAGUUGAAGUUGGUGCCUUUUCAGAGGUUGAAAUAUUUGUGAGAACCACCAGCACAGCUUGUUUUCAGGGAAAUGGAAGUAAAGAAAUGUGAAGUAAGAGGGGAACGCAUACACUUUAAAUAUUUAUUUUUAAAAAUGCAAACAAGAUUGUUAUUUUCUAAGCUUUGGCUGGUCUGGAGAGGGCUGUCUCGGGUUUCCUGAGCACCUGCAGCUCUGCAGUCUGUCCUCUUGGCAGACAGAAAGGCAUUUUGAUUCUGGGUAUUUGUUUUCUUUUGCUUGCAGCUAUUCUUAGAUUUGGAAUAGACACGUGAAUAGAUAGUGUACUAUGGAGAGAGCCUUAUGGGGGCAACACAGCAUUAUUGUUGCUCAGAAGGGGCUUCCUGCAAAAGGGCUGUCACUCAUCAUGUUUUUCAGGUGGUUUAUCUCAAUUUAUCGAGGCUUUGACAUCCAGAGCCUCAGGAUCACAGUAAUUCCAACAGGCAUCUCACAAUCCAAAUGAAUGAGAACAGAUGUAGAGAUGUAUGUAAGUUCUAGGUAUUUUCACUUUGGUUUCAACUGGUUGUGAGUUUGUUUUCAUUUCUCUAUUGAUGCAGCACCCCCCAUUUUUAUAUUAUAUAAAUCUUAGGCCUCAAAAUGGUCUAUACAGUGUUGAGUAAACUUGGUGAUCUUAAAACAGUGGGUGAUAACUGUGUAUAUAUUAUGAUAUAAUACUAGAAGUUGGAGGCCAAGGAAGAAUCAAAUUCCUCAUACCACUCCCCCCCCCAAAAAAAUUAUCUGAUUGCCAAUGAGUGUAGGUGAAAAGUUUUUGAUAUUUGAUAGUGGAUAACAUGACGCAGACAAGAUUUUGGUAUUUGGCAUAGAAUCUGGCUUAGAUGACUUGGGAAAUAUAAAGACAGGGCAUGUGAUAGAACACUUAAAUGCAGUUCAGAUAUGUUCUACCAGGUGUAUAUGGUACAUAUACAGAACAAGAAAUAGCAGCAUCCCUCCUCUGUUUGUUUUACUUCCAGGGAAAGCUGAAGAGUUUCAGCAGAUUUUUUGAAACAAAUAAAGAACUUACUUCCAACAUUAGAACCUGACUCCUUAAUGAUCAACUUUGAGAAAGGAAGAAUCAUUGCUUUCUCUAAGAUAUAUCUGAAUACAAAUAUAACCAUGAAUGUACACAUCUUUUAAAGGAAUUAAAUAUUUUUUGUAUUUUCAUUUUUCAUAGUAAAAUCUUUAAAAAUAUUUGUUACUAGUUUUUUUCAUGAUUCAUUAUGUCCUUUUAAAUGUCCCUAUUUUAUUUUUGUUAUUUUUUAUCUUUCAUGGUGCAGUUGUCUUACAGCCAAUUAGUUGUGUAGCAAAACUGCUUGUGGUGAAAUUACUUGAAGCAAAGAUGUUUAAGGUGAAACUACCAGACUCCAUUUAUGUGGACUUGAUUAGGCCCAUGACUAAGCACUAAAGCAUUGAAACAAAACACUAGAACACAGAACCUCCUGGAGGAACCAGAUAGCCAACCGUCAAAGAAAGAGAGGUCCUCAACUCCCACCCCAGGAAUGAAUUAGGAUGACAGUGAUGUUCAAAUGCAACAAAACUUCCAGUGUGGGGUGGUGGACUUACUCAUAUCUACUAAAACAUGUGAUGAUUUUAGGGGUUUCCAAGUUACUCUAUUCACAUUUGUUCUGAGUAGGCUCAGUU